rnacentral:rRNA from 1 species
UGCAGUCGAGCGGACAGAUGGGAGCUUGCUCCCUGAUGUUAGCGGCGGACGGGUGAGUAACACGUGGGUAACCUGCCUGUAAGACUGGGAUAACUCCGGGAAACCGGGGCUAAUACCGGAUGGUUGUUUGAACCGCAUGGUUCAGACAUAAAAGGUGGCUUCGGCUACCACUUACAGAUGGACCCGCGGCGCAUUAGCUAGUUGGUGAGGUAACGGCUCACCAAGGCAACGAUGCGUAGCCGACCUGAGAGGGUGAUCGGCCACACUGGGACUGAGACACGGCCCAGACUCCUACGGGAGGCAGCAGUAGGGAAUCUUCCGCAAUGGACGAAAGUCUGACGGAGCAACGCCGCGUGAGUGAUGAAGGUUUUCGGAUCGUAAAGCUCUGUUGUUAGGGAAGAACAAGUGCCGUUCAAAUAGGGCGGCACCUUGACGGUACCUAACCAGAAAGCCACGGCUAACUACGUGCCAGCAGCCGCGGUAAUACGUAGGUGGCAAGCGUUGUCCGGAAUUAUUGGGCGUAAAGGGCUCGCAGGCGGUUUCUUAAGUCUGAUGUGAAAGCCCCCGGCUCAACCGGGGAGGGUCAUUGGAAACUGGGGAACUUGAGUGCAGAAGAGGAGAGUGGAAUUCCACGUGUAGCGGUGAAAUGCGUAGAGAUGUGGAGGAACACCAGUGGCGAAGGCGACUCUCUGGUCUGUAACUGACGCUGAGGAGCGAAAGCGUGGGGAGCGAACAGGAUUAGAUACCCUGGUAGUCCACGCCGUAAACGAUGAGUGC